rnacentral:rRNA from 1 species
AUUGGAAGUAAAAGUCGUAACAAGGUUUCCGUAGGUGAACCUGCGGAAGGAUCAUUAUUGAAUGAACUUGACUUGGUUGCUGCUGGUCUUUUCAAAGGCAUGUGCACACCUUGUCAUCUUUAUAUCUCCACCUGUGCACCUUUUGUAGACCUGGAUUCAACAUUCCGAGGCAACUCGGUCGUGAGGAAUUGCUUCACAGCUUUCCUUGUAAGUUUCCAGGCCUAUGUUUUUCAUAUACACCAUAAGAAUGUAACAGAAUGUCAUUAUUAGACUUCAUUGUCUUAUAAACUAUAUACAACUUUCAGCAACGGAUCUCUUGGCUCUCGCAUCGAUGAAGAACGCAGCGAAAUGCGAUAAGUAAUGUGAAUUGCAGAAUUCAGUGAAUCAUCGAAUCUUUGAACGCACCUUGCGCUCCUUGGUAUUCCGAGGAGCAUGCCUGUUUGAGUGUCAUUAAAUUCUCAACCUUUGUCAACUUUUUUGGUUGACCAAUGGCUUGGAUGUGGGGGUUUUGCAGGUUUCUCUUUUGAAAUCAGCUCCCCUGAAAUGUAUUAGCUGGUUGCGUUGUGUAGACCUGUCUAUUGGUGUGAUAAUUAUCUACGCCGUGGACUGUUUGCCAUUUUAGCACUGCUUCUAACUGUCUGUUCAUUCAGACGAUAUAUGACAAUUGACCUCAAAUCAGUAG